GGGGGAUUAGCUCAGUUGGGAGAGCGCCACAAUGGCAUUGUGGAGGUCCUCGGUUCGAUUCCGUGAUCCUCCA
rnacentral:tRNA from 1 species